AUUGAACGCUGGCGGCAGGCCUAACACAUGCAAGUCGAGCGAGCGGCGGACGGGGGAGGAAUGGCGGGGAAACUGCCUGAUGGAGGGGGAUAACUACGGGAAACGGUAGCUAAUACCGCAUACCAUCAGAUGUGGCCAGAUGGGAUUAGCUAGUAGGUGGGGUAACGGCUCACCUAGGCGACGAUCCCUAGCCGGUCGGAGAGGAUGACCAGCCACACUGGAACUGAGACACGGUCCAGACUCCUACGUGAGGCAGCAGUGGGGAAUAUUGGACAAUGGGCGCAAGCCUGAUGCAGCAACGCCGCGUGUGUGAAGAAGGCCUUCGGGUUGUAAAGCACUUUCAGCGGGGAGGCGUUACCCGCACAAAAAGCAACGGCUAACUCCGUGCCAGCCGCCGCGGUAAUUC
rnacentral:rRNA from 1 species